UACAGAGGCCCCAAGCAUUAUCCGGAAUCACUGGGCGUAAAGGGUGUGUAGGCGGCAUGGUUAGUCUCCCGUAAAAGCCCCGCAGGCUUAACCUGUGGAAUGCGGGGGAAACGGCCAUGCUUCGAGGACGCGAGAGGUAGAGGGAACUCAUGGUGUAGGGGUGAAAUCCGUUGAUAUCAUGGGGGAACACCAAAGGCGAAGGCACUCGUACUGGCGCGCUCCUGACGCUGAAACACGAAAGCGUGGGAAUCGAACGGGAUUAGAUGACCCUAGUACGUU
rnacentral:rRNA from 1 species